UUCCGUAGGGGAACCUGCGGAGGGAUCAUUACCGAGUUUACAACUCCCAAACCCCUGUGAACAUACCUUUAUGUUGCCUCGGCGGAUCAGCCCGCGCCCCGUAAAACGGGACGGCCCGCCGCAGGAAACCCUAAACUCUGUUUUUAGUGGAACUUCUGAGUAUAAAAAACAAAUAAAUCAAAACUUUCAACAACGGAUCUCUUGGUUCUGGCAUCGAUGAAGAACGCAGCAAAAUGCGAUAAGUAAUGUGAAUUGCAGAAUUCAGUGAAUCAUCGAAUCUUUGAACGCACAUUGCGCCCGCCAGUAUUCUGGCGGGCAUGCCUGUUCGAGCGUCAUUUCAACCCUCAAGCUCAGCUUGGUGUUGGGACUCGCGGUAACCCGCGUUCCCCAAAUCGAUUGGCGGUCACGUCGAGCUUCCAUAGCGUAGUAAUCAUACACCUCGUUACUGGUAAUCGUCGCGGCCACGCCGUAAAACCCCAACUUCUGAAUGUUGACCUCGGAUCAGGUAGGAAUACCCGCUGAACUUAAGCAUAUCAAAAGGCCGGAGGAA
rnacentral:rRNA from 1 species